UCUUAGGGAAAAACAAAGAAAGUGGUUUCUUGAGAUGAUAGAAUCUAUUCCUGGUGAAGAUUCUGUGAA
rnacentral:pre_miRNA from 1 species